rnacentral:rRNA from 1 species
UACAGAGGGUGCGAGCGUUGUCCGGAAUCACUGGGCGUAAAGCGCACGUAGGCGGCUUGUUAAGUCAGGGGUGAAAUCCUGGAGCUCAACUCCAGAACUGCCUUUGAUACUGGCGAGCUUGAGUCCGGGAGAGGUGAGUGGAACUGCGAGUGUAGAGGUGAAAUUCGUAGAUAUUCGCAAGAACACCAGUGGCGAAGGCGGCUCACUGGCCCGGUACUGACGCUGAGGUGCGAAAGCGUGGGGAGCAAACAGG